rnacentral:lncRNA from 1 species
AUGCAAACUUCAUCACACACCUGCAUCAAGAGCCUCCUUUCCUCCUUUGUAUUAUUUCUAGAGCUCCCAUUCAAGCUGCCCAAAGCUUUCUGCAUUCCAGUUUCCACUCUCCAGCCUGAGGUACAGGACUUGCAGCAGCUCCCUGAACUCAGCUCUGGUACAAGUUCUCCUGCCCGUCAGCCCACUGUGCUGCUGCCCAUCCAGGAAGACUUACCAGAAGCUUCCAACACUAAGGGAAAGAACUAUGAGCUGGUUUUACAACAGCGGAACAUUGUCUGGCUGAAGCACUAUGACAGAAAGACUCUGGUUUGGUUGUUGGUCAAGUACAACAGAAGGAGAAGAGGGAGUUACAUCUACAUGGCUGAAUAAAGAAAAAGUACUGAUGAAUACUGGAGUAAGAAUUUCCCUUUUGUAAGAAAAUGCAAUUAUUUCCAUAAUAAUAAUCAUUAAAUGUAGAAAUACAAAGGCUGUAUUUUCUUUUAUGUAUUCCCAUUUGACAAAUAAAUAACUGACUGAUCUAAUAGCUGUACUGCA